AUUGACUUAUUCAUUUGCAACUAAUAGUGAAAACAAAAAAAAUGAUGCUAUCUUCUUGUGUAAUCUGUAAGAAUUUCUUUGGAGUUCAUACCCAGAACUAGAAUUACAGGAUUGAAGUGUGAUAUAUCUUUACCUUUACUAGGUGUUGCCUGCCAAAUUGCUCUAUACCCUGGUUAUAUAAACUUAUAAUUCUGUCAGCAAUGUAUGAAAUUUCUUGUUGCUUUACAUCUUAACUAACCCUUGGUAUUUUUACAUUUAUAUAUUUUUAUCCAUCUGAUGGGUGUGAAAUGGCAUCUACAUUAGCCAAGACCCAGUUAGGAAAUCAGACACCACACAAGGUAUUUCAAGCAGAGGGACUUCAAUACAGGGAAUUGGUUGCAUAGGUUUUGAGAUAUUGAUAGAGCAAGAAGGGAACAUAGAGGUGAUCUAGCACUAAUAGCUGCAGGAAGCAUAUGCCAUCCAAAGGCUAAAAGAGCCAAAGAAAAGAUGAGGGGACACUAAAAUCUAGGACCUCAGAGAAGGGGUUUGGGGUGCUCAAACCUUGGAAGAAAGGAUGUCAUCAGCUGCUGCUGGUAUCUUGGAGGAGUCUGAGGAGGCUGGAUUUGGGAGGAAGAAAGUGGAGGCUGGAGCCAGCUUCUGCUGCUGCUAGAGUGGUGCUGGCAGGAAAGGAAGAAACAGGAACUAGGUCCCUUUUUGCCUCACCCCACCUUCCAAUUCUUCUUGAGUAUCUGUCAUUGCUGGAACCUAACAGGAAGCCAGCUGGUCCUGGAGUCUGGGAAGUGAAGUAUGCAGAGUCCUGGCCCCAACAAUGGAGCAGAAUACGGAAGGGUGGAUUCAGGCAGAGAGACAUUAGGUACUCUUCUUGGUGUUUUACAUGCUUUCUCCAUAAUCCUCCCAAUAAACUUACAACAUGUCAUUCAAAUGAGGAUAUAGCAUUAAAGGAUUCCACACCAGCUGUGUUCAUUGCCAGGCAUGACUACUGGAGGAAACUGGCUCAGCAGAUGGAGUAAGUUAUUACUGGGAGGACAGGAGCUCAGAGGACAUCAGGGGUCACCUUGUGGAUACUGGGUUCCUGAGGAAGGUGAGAGGAAGGAAAGGGGAGACGCAGAGCAAAACCUCCCUCCAUUUAUGUCAAAUUAUUUCUCUCCUGAUGAGAGCUGAGAUAAAAUCUGGAUGUUCAAAUGGUGCUGUGGCUCUACUUGUAUAUAAGAAACACCUGAGUUGCUUCUCAAGUAGAACCUGGGAUUCUGCAUUUCUAACAAGCUUCCAGGUAAUAUUGAUGCCGCUGGGUCCUACACGUUGAGUAGCAAAGGUGGAGGAAAGUUCAACCUAUGGCCGUCUGUGACUGGGUCUGGGGUGCUCUGUGGCUGGGGUCCAGGAUCAGUUCAUGUUUGGGGAAUUGGGCCAGUCCAUAACUGGAGAAUCGUGAAGUUGGCCAGACUUUUGACUUUGACCAACACUUCAUCUGUUCUCCAACCUUUUAGCCAUGAGUCAUAAUAAAGAGAGUGAAGGAGAGAAAAAAGAUUUCUCUGGAAGUAAAGGAGAAGAUGCAGGUCAGAUAAGGGAAAGAAUUUCUGAGCCAUCAGGAUUAGUUAGUUCUUGAGGAAUUGCCCUAUAUCCUGGGAAGUGUCUGGAUGGAAGAAUCACCUCCUUUUCUGUAGAGAUAAUUUCUCCUCCUUCCUCUCUGACAAGGAUUUAAGAUCACUGUCACAUCUGGGGGUUUUGUCCUUCAGGCCUGAUGGCCAAAAAUAUAUCUGUUUUGGGGCGGCAGUACAGAAUGGAGAAGGGAAUGGUUGUUUUAGACUAGGAGAGAAAAAAGGCAAAGUAAAGGAAACUAACAUGUAUUGACCUCUUACUUUAUACAAGGCACUAUGCCAGGCGUUUCUGUGUAAGCCCCCUGUUUGAUCUUCCCAACAACAUGUAAAAUAUGUCCAGAUAAAGAAACAAAGACUCAUAGGGGCUCAGACAUGUAGCCAUGGUCACUUGAGUGUUAGAGCCAGGUCUGUAAUUUCAAAAACCCUGGCCACCUCCUGGAUUUUAGUAAGAUGAGUUCCAGCUGAACACAAUGCAUCUGAGGGGCCUCUGGUGCAGCGGGGGGAAACGCUCAGGUGCAGUGGCUGAGGUCCUAGGAUGGCGAUACAAUAGAGUGGAGAGAAAAGAGGGUGCCGCAGAACCUACUCUCUUUUUCCUCCUCAGUAAGCAGAACCCCCCACUUUCAGCUGGACUCAGCCACCUAGAAUAAAGACUAUACUUCCCAACCUUCCGUGCGGCUGGAUGUGGCCAUGUGCUAGGUUGCCUUUGGUAAGGAGGGAGGGGAAGUCAUCCUUGCUUGCCUUUGUCACUCUGCUUCUUUCUCCUUCCUAUUGGCUAGAGUAAGGAUGUGAACAUCGAGCAGCUGUUUUGCACCAUGAGGCAGUAGGAGUUUGAGUCCCUGCCAAACUCAUCUGGACCCGUAGAGUCUAUACACAUGUGGAAACCGAGAUGCAGAAAUGAAUUGACUGGCUCAAGGUCACACAGCAGGGACUCACAAGCUGCAACCCUUCUGACACUGGCCUUCACAAUCAAACUAACGGUCUUUUAUUUUCAAGCUGUGCAUUACAGAGCGUGGCUGACUAUGUGUUUGUCCUGGGUAGAUAAAACAGCAAUCAGUUCUGUGCUGAAUACUUUACAUCAUUAAUCUUCUCAUUUGUCAGUCCUCUUCAGGCAAGACCUGUUUGAUUUUGCCUGUUUAAUGGAUAUGAAAUGGAGAAAUUAAGUGACAUACUAAAGGUCACAUGGAUGGGACAUGGGAGCAGGGCGGAGCCCUCGCUCUUCACCACGGACAUGACAUUCGACCUCUCAAGAAGGAAGACAAAGGGAACAGCAUACUCAAUGGCGUCCAGAGCCUUUGGUCAGAGUCUAAGAGCAGGAGAUUUCUCUUUCUCUGUAGGCAUCAAACCAGACCUCUAAGAGUCCCUUCAGUCUGGUGUCCAAUGAGUCUGUGAAAUGAAAAAAAGCUUCUAUUUCUUAAAGGGCCAGCCGUCUAUGUGGACUCCUUUGCCUGCAUUUUACAGACAGACCUGGUUCUGUCAUUUAUCCAGCCCGUGACCUUGAGCAGCUCACUCUCUGGGCCUCUAUUUUCUCCUCUGUAGAAUAGCAACAAUUACACAUAAUUUCUAGGGUUUGAAAAAAAGAUUCAAUAAAUUAAGGUAUAUGAAA